GAUGAACGCUGGCGGCGUGCCUAAUACAUGCAAGUCGAGCGAACAGAUGAGGAGCUUGCUCCUCUGACGUUAGCGGCGGACGGGUGAGUCACACGUGGAUAACAUACCUAUAAGACUGGGAUAAUUUUGGGAAACCGGAGCUAAUACCGGAUAACAUGUUGAACCGCAUGGUUCCAGAGUGAAAGACGCUCUUUCUGUCACUUAUAGAUGGAUACGCGCCUCAUUAGCUACUUGGUAAGGUAACGGCUUACCAAAGCAACGAUGCGUAGGCGACCUGAGCGGGAGAUCCACCACACUGGAACUGAGACACGGUACAGACUUCGACGGGGGGCAGCAGUAGAGAAUCUUACGCAAUGGGCGAGUGCCUGACGGAGCAAAACCGCGGGAGUGCAGAAGGACUUAGGACGGUUAAAUGCUGAUGGUAGGAAAGAAGAAAAGUGCAUGUAACGAUGACGGUAUUGACGGUACCUGAAGAAAAAGCCACGGCUAACUUCGUG
rnacentral:rRNA from 1 species